rnacentral:rRNA from 1 species
UACGUAGGGUGCGAGCGUUAAUCGGAAUUACUGGGCGUAAAGUGUGCGCAGGCGGCAAAGCAAGUCGAGUGUGAAAGCCCCGGGCUUAACUUGGGAAUUGCGCUCGAAACUACUUUGCUGGAGUGUGGCAGAGGAAGGUGGAAUUCCACGUGUAGCGGUGGAAAUGACGUAGAGGAUGUGGAGGAAUCGACCGAAAUGGGCACCAA